ACAUGCACGAUCUAUGGAAUGGAGGAUGAGACAGAGUAUCAUGCAGUGAUUGCCUGUACUAAGGCAAAAGCGCUUCGGUCUGAAAUCCGGAAAGCCUGGAAGUUGCCGGCGGAGGAAAAAUUUCAGUACACCGGAGAUGACUGGCUAUUGUGCCUGUUGAGUGCAUGUGAUGAAGUAACUAGAAGAAGAAUCCUUCUAAUAAUCUGGAGAGCGUGGCAUCUCCGCAACAACAGUGUGCAUGAGGAAGGAAAAGCUUCAGUUACUGUCUCUGUGGAAUUCUUGAAGAAGUACGAACUAGAAGUAAUCCAAUGCAUGGAGUCGCAAGGUGAUGAAAAAGGAAAACAAACCCUAUUCCCUGACAGCAAAGUGAGUGUCGAAUAG
rnacentral:rRNA from 1 species